UACAGAGGGGGCGAGCGUUGUUCGGAAUUACUGGGCGUAAAGCGUGCGUAGGCGGUUUUGUAAGUUUGGUGUGAAAUCUCCCGGCUCAACUGGGAGGGUGCGCCGAAAACUGCAAGGCUGGAGUGUGGGAGAGGUAGGCGGAAUUCCUGGUGUAGCGGUGAAAUGCGUAGAUAUCAGGAGGAACACCUGUGGUGUAGACGGCUUACUGGACCAUGACUGACGCUGAGGCACGAAAGCGUGGGGAGCAAACAGG
rnacentral:rRNA from 1 species